GACGAACGCUGGCGGCGUGCUUAACACAUGCAAGUCGAACGAAGAGCGAUGGAAGCUUGCUUCUAUCAAUCUUAGUGGCGAACGGGUGAGUAACGCGUAAUCAACCUGCCCUUCAGAGGGGGACAACAGUUGGAAACGACUGCUAAUACCCCAUACGAUCUAAUCUCGGCAUCGAGGAUAGAUGAAAGGUGGCCUCUACAUGUAAGCUAUCACUGAAGGAGGGGAUUGCGUCUGAUUAGGUAGUUGGAGGGGUAACGGCCCACCAAGGCGAUGAUCAGUAGCCGGACUGAGGGGAUGAGCGGCCAGAUUGGGACUGAGACACGGCCCAGACUGCUACGGGAGGCAGCAGUGGGGGAUCUUCCGAAAUGGACGAAAGUCUGACGGAGCGACGCCGCGUGAGUGAUGACGGCCUUCGGGUUGUAAAGCUCUGUUAAUCGGGACGAAAGGCCUUCUUGCGAAUAGUGAGAAGGAUUGACGGUACCGGAAUAGAAAGCCACGGCUAACUACGUG
rnacentral:rRNA from 1 species